rnacentral:rRNA from 1 species
AUUGAACGCUGGCGGCAGGCCUAACACAUGCAAGUCGAACGGUAGCACAGAGAGCUUGCUCUCGGGUGACGAGUGGCGGACGGGUGAGUAAUGUCUGGGAAACUGCCUGAUGGAGGGGGAUAACUACUGGAAACGGUAGCUAAUACCGCAUAACGUCGCAAGACCAAAGAGGGGGACCUUCGGGCCUCUUGCCAUCAGAUGUGCCCAGAUGGGAUUAGCUAGUAGGUGGGGUAACGGCUCACCUAGGCGACGAUCCCUAGCUGGUCUGAGAGGAUGACCAGCCAAACUGGAACUGAGACACGGUCCAGACUCCUACGGGAGGCAGCAGUGGGGAAUAUUGCACAAUGGGCGCAAGCCUGAUGCAGCCAUGCCGCGUGUAUGAAGAAGGCCUUCGGGUUGUAAAGUACUUUCAGCGGGGAGGAAGGGAGUGAGGUUAAUACGUGGGUACUUUGACGUUACCAACAGAAUAAGCACCGGCUAACUCUGUGCCAGCCGCCGCCGUAAAAC